AUGAACGCUGGCGGCGUGCCUAAUACAUGCAAGUCGAGCGAACGGACGAGAAGCUUGCUUCUCUGAUGUUAGCGGCGGACGGGUGAGUAACACGUGGAUAACCUACCUAUAAGACUGGGAUAACUUCGGGAAACCGGAGCUAAUACCGGAUAAUAUUUUGAACCGCAUGGUUCAAAAGUGAAAGACGGUCUUGCUGUCACUUAUAGAUGGAUCCGCGCUGCAUUAGCUAGUUGGUAAGGUAACGGCUUACCAAGGCAACGAUGCAUAGCCGACCUGAGAGGGUGAUCGGCCACACUGGAACUGAGACACGGUCCAGACGCCUACGGGAGGCAGCAGUAGGGAAUCUUCCGCAAUGGGCGGAAGCCUUACGGAGCAACGCCGCGUGAGUGAUGAAGGUCUUCGGAUCGUAAAACUCUGUUAUUAGGGAAGAACAUAUGUGUAAGUAACUGUGCACAGCUUGACGGUACCUAAUCAGAAAGCCACGGCUAACUACGUG
rnacentral:rRNA from 1 species